AUGAAGAGGUCAUAACAAACGAACAGUUACCUGGUGAAGGUCAUUCUGAAAUGGACAAUCCCAUGCAUGGGGAGAUUGUAAA